CUUUUCCUCAUUGCUCUGCCUCAUGGCCAACUAAUCACUGCAUUGCUGUUUUGUUGUUUUAAUUAAGUGUCGUCCACGUCAACAGAGAUUAAUGCCAUUAUGUUAAGACAAUGAAGUUUAGCUAAUCAAAACAGGUUUGCACUUGAGUUUGAAGAACCACAGUAUAGUCAAGAACAAGCAUGGGGAGAUCUGACAAAAACAAACCAUACUGAAGAUGUUGUUUGUGUCACGUUUUGAGUUGUGUUUUGUUCUGUUUAGUUGUUCUGGUUUAGAGUUUGUUUUUGAUUAGUCACAUGUUCUCCUUUGUUCUCAGUUUCCCGCCACUUGUUUGUAUCCUUUGUUACUGAUUUAGUGUUUGAGUUCAGGUGUGUCUUGUUUAUUAGCUCCUCACUUCUGUCUGUGAGGACAGUUCAUACUGAACUUGAAUGCUUGUAACUUUUUGAAUCUGGUGUACACAAAAACAUAUAAAAUCAAAAUUUCCAGACAUUUCCAUGAAUUUUAAUGCACUAUUACUAAUUAUCUCUAUGCAUUAUAAAAUGCAAUACUGUUUGCUAAGUUAUUUAAGUUAUUAUAGAUUGUCAUCCAAAAUCUGCAAAUAGUUGCGUAGGUGGGGAUUUUGGGGUGUGGUAUUUGGUUUGAUUUGCAUAUGAAUGUGUGAUAAAGAUGAAUGUCAAACUGAAACUUAUAAAACUGGAAUCUUGAGCCUCGACACUGGUCUUCAGAGCUGUGGAUGAAAACAACAUAAACUCAAAAAUGGGAUUAUCAGGAUCAAAGUCUGCACCUGAACCUCAGCCUAAGCCUGUGUUCACACCAACUGUGCAAACAUAUACACCACGACCACCACCAAACCCAGAACUGAAUGAACCACGGAGAAAAUUUGAUAAGUUGUUUGUUUACUAUCCUAGACUGUCAUUCAUGAUGUUAUUUUCUAAAAAAAAUAUAACAUCAUGGAUAAUACUUAUUUUCAUCAAAAAUCGUGUUGAACAUAACGUAAAUAAAAUUCCAAUAGAAAGUUUAGAAUUUUUUUUAAAGUUUUUUACAAAAUGUUUUUUUUUAAAAGCACCAAUACUGCACCAGCGCCAAACCCAGAACUGGACGAACCAUGGAGAAUAUUUGAUUGGAUGUAAGUUGGUUGUUUACUAUCCCGG